rnacentral:rRNA from 1 species
CACGGGGGGAGCAAGCGUUGUUCGGAUUCAUUGGGCGUAAAGAGCUCGUAGGUGGCUCUGUAAGUAGGUGGUGAAAGCCCACGGCUCAACCGUGGAUACGCCUCCUAAACUGUGGAGCUUGAGGCUGGGAGAGGGAAUCGGAAUUCCUGGUGUAGCGGUGAAAUGCGUAGAUAUCAGGAGGAACACCGGUGGCGAAGGCGGAUUCCUGGACCAGUUCUGACACUGAGGAGCGAAAGCCAGGGGAGCAAACAGGAUUAGAUACCCUGGUAGUCCUGGCUGUAAACGAUGGGCACUAGGUGUGGGGGGAUCGACCCCUUCCGUGCCGCAGUUAACGCAUUAAGUGCCCCGCCUGGGGAGUACGACCGCAAGGUUGAA